rnacentral:rRNA from 1 species
GUGAGUAGUUCAGAGUUUGAUCCUGGCUCAGGACGAACGCUGGCGGCGUGCCUAACACAUGCAAGUCGAACGGAGUAGAGAGCUUCGGUUUUCUACUUAGUGGCGAACGGGUGAGUAACGCGUGAGGAACCUGCCUUCCAGUGGGGGACAACAGUUGGAAACGACUGCUAAUACCGCAUAAUACAAUCGAGCGGCAUCGCUUGAUUGUCAAAGCUUUAUGUGCUGGAAGAUGGCCUCGCGUCUGAUUAGCUAGUUGGUGAGGUAACGGCUCACCAAGGCGACGAUCAGUAGCCGGUCUGAGAGGAUGAACGGCCACAUUGGGACUGAGAUACGGCCCAG